rnacentral:misc_RNA from 1 species
ACUGGCGCCGACACUCUGGCGACAGAGAGUCGGAUGCCGGAAAGUUGGUCAAACUUGAUCAUUUAGAGGAAGUAAAAGUCGUAACAAGGUUUCCGUAGGUGAACCUGCGGAAGGAUCAUUACCGAUACGUGUCCAAAUCAAGUCUCCGACUUGUACCGUGUGAACUCGAACAAACUUUUAGGGGUCGGCAAGUCCGUUAAAUGGCGGUCGGACGCAGGGCCGUUGAGGUUCUGCGGCCGCCCGUCCAGCCCCGCCAGUGUUUUUUAACCAACAUGCUUUACAGAGUCUGAAGGCUGCGCUCGUGCGCGGCGCGGGUUUGCGCCCCGCCGCGCAGAGCGAGACGAAAAAAGAUUGACAACUUUUGACGGUGGAUCUCUUGGCUCACGCAUCGAUGAAGAACGCAGCCAGCUGCGAUAAGUAGUGUGAAUUGCAGAAUUCAGUGAAUCAUCGAAUCUUUGAACGCAAAUGGCGCUCUUGGGUUCUCCCAGGAGCAUGUCUGUCUGAGUGUCGGAUAUCACCCAUCGCACUUGAGUGUGCGGAGUUGAGGCGUCACGGCCGCCGGCUGUCGCGGGCAGGCCGUGUCCCUCGAAAGGCAGAGAGACCCGCCGUGACUGGGGCUUCUUCCCGGCACACCAGCGGAGGCUAAAACUCGUUUUGCCCUUCGCGUGCCCGGCGAAGACCUCGGGUCGCACCCGGGUCGCAGGCGAACUCACACACAUCUUGACCUCAGAUCAGGCAAGGCUACCCGCUGAAU